UGAGUAACCUGCCCUUCACUCUGGGAUAACUCCGGGAAACCGGGGCUAAUACUGGAUAUGACUCGAACAGGCAUCUGUUUCGGGUGGAAAGAUUUAUUGGUGGAGGAUGGACUCGCGGCCUAUCAGCUUGUUGGUGAGGUAAUGGCUCACCAAGGCGACGACGGGUAGCUGGUCUGAGAGGAUGGCCAGCCACAUUGGGACUGAGACACGGCCCAGACCUCCUACGGGAGCA
rnacentral:rRNA from 1 species